CGGGGGUUCUCACAUUGCAAGUCAAACGGAAAGGCCCUUCGGGGUACUCUAGUGGCGAACGGGUGAGUCCAUUUGGGUGAUCUGCCCUGCACUUUGGGAUAAGCCUGGGAAACUGGGUCUAAUACCGAAUAGGACCACGCGCUUCAUGGUGUGUGGUGGAAAGCUUUUGCGGUGUGGGAUGGGCCCGCGGCCUAUCAGCUUGUUGGUGGGGUAAUGGUCCUACCAAGGCGACGACGGGUAGCCGGCCUGAGAGGGUGACCGGCCACACUGGGACUGAGAUACGGCCCAGACUCCUACGGGAGGCAGCAGUGGGGAAUAUUGCACAAUGGGCGCAAGCCUGAUGCAGCGACGCCGCGUGAGGGAUGACGGCCUUCGGGUUGUAAACCUCUUUCGCCAGGGACGAAGCGCAAGUGACCGCACCUGGAGAAGAAGGACCGGCCAACUACGUGCCAGCAGCCGCGGUAAUACCUAGGGACCGAGCGUUGUCCGGAAUUACUGGGCGUAAAGAGCUCGUAGGUGGUUUGUCGCGUUGUUCGUGAAAACUCACAGCUUAACUGUGGGCGUGCGCGCGAUACGGCCAGACUGGAUUACUGCAGGUUAGACUGUAAUUCCUGGUGUAUCGGUGGAAUGCUCAUAUAUCAAGAUGAACCCCCGUAGCGAAUGCUGCUCUCUUUC
rnacentral:rRNA from 1 species